rnacentral:lncRNA from 10 species
GUGGGUAUGGCCUUUCACAGAGCCAAGAGUCAGAGGUGCAGGCCUCUUGCCCACACCACUGGGGACAGGAAGGGGCUCUUUCAGUCUCUCAUCUUGUAGGAGACGGGGUGCCAGGAGUGAGGAUGUGAGGUGCACCCGCUCUGCUUGGGUCCUCACUGAGUGCCUCUCUGCUUCUCUGGACUCUGGUUUUCUUCUGGAAAACCUCAGACACCCUGGUUUUCUCCAGGUCUGUCUACUCUGAGCACCAGCAGGCUCAGCAUUACCUGGAGAAGGUGUUACAACGCAGGUUACAGGUCCCUGCAUCAGACCAACCGAACCAGAAUCUCUGGGUGUGGAGCCUGAAUAUUUCCAGGAUUCAGUCAGAAGACCCCCAUCCAGAGAGAGUCCUGCGCCAUAUGAGGAAGGAAGGAAUGCUGCGCAGAGAGGCCGAAAAGAAUCUUGACAGACAGGCCUCGCUGGGUUCCCCACUCAGUCUAUCAGCAUUAGAUCAGGCUCUUUUGUCCAACCGUAUUUCUACACGGCCAUCCAUACUUUGUUGAACUGAAGCCUAAAAAUGGACAGUUUCUCCUGUAUCUUUGGGUGUUCAUUCUGAAGGUUCUUGUAUCUCAUAAAACCAUGGUCAAAUAAAUUUGUGUAUUUG